CCUACGGGAGGCAGCAGUGAGGAAUAUUGGUCAAUGGGAGAGAUCCUGAACCAGCCAAGCCGCGUGAGGGAAGACGGCCCUAUGGGUUGUAAACCUCUUUUGUCGGGAAACAAAACCCGGGACGUGUCCCGGACUGCGUGUAUCCGAAGAAAAAGCAUCGGCUAACUCCGUGCCAGCAGCCGCGGUAAUACGGAGGAUGCGAGCGGUAUCCGGAUUUAUUGGGUUUAAAGGGUGCGUAGGCGGUCCGUUAAGUCAGCGGUAAAAUUGCGGGGCUCAACCCCGUCGAGCCGUUGAAACUGGCAGACUUGAGUUGGCGAGAAGUACGCGGAAUGCGCGGUGUAGCGGUGAAAUGCAUAGAUAUCGGGCAGAACUCCGAUUGCGAAGGCAGCGUACCGGCGCUAGACUGACGCUGAGGCACGAAAGCGUGGGGAGCGAACAGGAUUAGAUACCCGUGUAGUC
rnacentral:rRNA from 1 species